rnacentral:misc_RNA from 1 species
AUAUUAAUGAAUAUUCCUUCAUUUCCAGACAAAAGAAUUCUAAACAAGAACAAAAAAAUAGUUAUCAAUUUUGAUUAUGUGUUGAGUGCUUCCUUUUGCCUUCUCCAAUAUACUUCACUUGAAACCUUGCCUUGAAUUUUCUAAUUCCUAUCACAAUGUCUAUCACUAUGUUGGUAUAUCCUGUUUUCUGUGUGCUAGUUUUGGGUGCCUUGAUUCUACAAUUUACUGCCAGCAAAACUCAGCAACAAAUUGCAUCAGGAAAUAACCCUCAUUUUAAAAAGUUCCAGUACUCCUUUUUCCUUGUCUACUUCAUGGCUUUAUUCUCUGAUUGGCUACAAGGGCCUUAUGUUUAUAAACUAUAUUCACACUAUGGCUAUGCUAGUAAUCAGAUUGCUCUUCUCUAUGUUGUUGGCUUUGCUAGUAGUGUAGUCUUUGGUACUACCACAGGCCCUAUAGCUGAUCGUUUUGGGCGCAAGAAAAUGGCAUUAGCUUUCUGUUUGAUCUAUUCAUUCUGUUGUUUAACAAAAUUGAGCUCUAGUUUCUUUUGGCUGUUUCUUGGUCGUGUCUUUGGUGGCAUUUCAACUUCAAUGUUGUUCUCAACAUUUGAGUCAUGGUAUGUGUAUGAGCACACUGAAACCCAUGACUUCCCUUCUGAGUGGAUUUCAGUAACUCUUUCAAAAGCAACCUUUUGGAAUGGCCUUCUUGCCAUUAAUGCUGGAAUAUUUGCUAAUGUUGUGGCAGAAACACUACACUUUGGACCUGUUGCCCCAUUUAUGUUUGCUAUCCCUUUUUUGUUGUUAUCUGGCAUCAUCAUUGCCAAGACUUGGCCAGAAAAUUAUGGCAAUACUGCUAACAAUUUACGACAUUCUUGCAUGGAGGGUCUGCGAACCAUUAUCUUCAAAGAAGAAAUUCUUUACUUGGGUAUUGUUCAGUCACUUUUUGAAGCAAACAUGUACAUCUUUGUCUUCCAAUGGACUCCUAUUCUGGAUGAACACAAUGAUACACCACUAGGCAUGGUCUUUGCCUCCUUCAUGGUGUGCAUCAUGGUCGGAUCGUCUCUCUAUGCUAUUCUUCUGCACAAAAAAGUUUCUGAAGCAAAACUUCUUACCCUUGCUGUGAUUAUGGCGAUGGUUUCUAUGGCUAUUUGUGUUCUAACAAGUGGAAACUCGAGCCUUAAGUCCAUCACAUAUGCAGCAUUUUUAUUAUUGGAAGUUUCUGUUGGAAUGUACUUUCCUUCAAUUGGAUAUCUACGUUCUCAGGUUAUCCCUGAAGAACUCCGAGCCGGGAUUAUGAACUGGUUCCGAGUCCCUAUGAACAUCUUGACAUGUAGUGGACUGCUCUUGCUACACAACCAGACAAUGAUCAGUAACACAGAGAGCAUGUUUGCCAUCUGCACCAUAAUGCUAGCUGUGGCGUUGGUGUCAUCCAUGCGCUUCUCAAAGCUCUUCUCAGUGGUUUCUGUUGCUGCUGAUGUGCUAGCACACUCUGAUGAGAAGCGUCCUCUUAAUAUUGGCACAGCGACCACCUAACUCACUGUCCAAUUCCCGCAGUCUGAUCAAAAGAUUAAAUGACCCCACUGCUCAUUUUUCAUUGGACGCUGAUGACGAGGAGACGGACUACGGCUUUGCUAUAGUCCACGGCAAGCGAGAGAACUCGCCGCCUACCGCCGACAAACUCUCUCAUCUUGUCGUCCACAAAUGAGAACUUUA